GACGAACGCUGGCGGCGUGCCUAAAACAUGCAAGUCGAACGGUGUAGCAAUACACAGUGGCGAACGGCGAAGUAAUACAUAAGCAACGUGCCCUGAAGACUGGGAUAGUCAGAGGAAACUCUGGGUAAUACCAGAUGUGGUCAUCAUCCGGCAUCGGGAGAUGAUUAAAUGGUUUUUCGCUUCAGGAGCGGCUUAUGGCCUAUCAGGUAGUUGGUGGGGUAAUGGCCUACCAAGCCAACGACGGGUAGCGGGUCUGAGAGGAUGAUCCGCUCGAGUGGGACUGAGACACGGCCCACACACCUACGGGUGGCAGCAGUUGGGAAUCUUGCACAAUGGGGGAAACCCUGAUGCGGCGACGCCGCGUGGAGGAUGAAGGAUCUAGGUCUGUAAACUCCUUUUUCUAGGGAAAGACUUAGGACGGUACCCUGAGAAUAAGGACCGGCUAACUACGUGCCAGCAGCCGCAGUAAC
rnacentral:rRNA from 1 species